CUGCUUCUGCUUUGGCGCUUUAGCUGUAUGAUAGAUUUAAAAUACUUCAUAAAGCUAGAUUACCAAAGCAUUGGCUC
rnacentral:pre_miRNA from 1 species